ACUGAGCUGGGGUCGGGCGGUUGGGAGAGUCGCGCCCCCGACGCUCGUGGGGGUUGGAGCGGUCGCGGGGGUCUCUAGGCCUGGGCAGCGUCUGGCCUCCUCUACACUUCAGACCAACCCUCACGGUGCUCUGGGUGCUGCCGGGCGAGGAUUAGGGCGGGUCCCUCGGCCUUCUUCGUUUCAGGCGGUGUGAUUCACUCUGCCUUAUGUAAACCUCUGGGAAUUUCGCCGAGCCACCGAGGAAUGGACUCCAGAGGGGAGAGGAAUCCGUUUGGAACCGACACCCACUUUCCCGGAGCGUGCUCGCCACCACCGGUCCCUGCGGCUUUCCCAAGGCACUGGCAGGGACUUAAAGCUCGCUGUGCAAGUAGAGCACCUAGGUCAGCGUCAAUUCAUUCGUUCACCGGCUCAACAAAGCUCCUGUCCUCGGUUCUGGUCUCAGUAAAAUCCACAGAUCCAGGGUCCUGGACUCAUGGAGCUCACCUUGUAGGGGGAUGUUCAAGUUGCUAUGAGAGGCUUAUAACCCAGGAUCUGACCUAGUGUGGGGUGGAGGGCUGGGUGUGUGGGGGGGAAGGGGUGUCAGGGAGGAUUUCUCUAAAGAAAUGGUACUAUUCUAUGAGGAAACAGGCACAGAACAGGGAUGAUGUUUGCUGAAGAUCCCACAAUUAGCAAGAGGAGAAAUUCAAGUUCAAACUCGGGCCUUCUGGCAACAUGCCACUUGAUUUUCCCUCCAUGUUUUUAUCAAGUUGUUAGUAUUUCUCUCUCUCUUUUACUAACUGUGAUUUAGUCAAUCACUUUAUUACCGAAAUGUGAUUUUCAACUCAACGCGUAAAGAAAAUCUCUAUAUUGCAUUUGACUUAAUGCUGUAAUGAUUUAAGGGAAAAAAAUAAAUAAUUGGGGGAAGGGUGGAGGAGCAAAAACUAAGAAAACAAACAAAUGAAUAACAAAACAGCAAACCACGUUGUCUCGCAGGCACCUUUGGUGCAAUACCAGGAAAGCUCUUGGGUAAGAAGGGGUGCCCCUCCUUCCCUCUCUGUACCAGAGUGUGUUCCAGACCCAAACCCCAAUUCCCAGAUCUCCACCUUGUGGGCAUAAGUAGAAUAUCACCAAAUUAGAGAAAACGGAGUAUAAUUUUAAUGGAACAAUGAAUGGUUUAAGUUCAAUUCUGAGAAUAUUACAUGGCUACCAUGGUCCACGCCGUGUCCUAGAUUCUAUGGGGAAAUCCCAAGUAGUUGGGGUCCCUGUCUUUUUAGCUGUUAACGACAACUACACAUAACGGCAGGGAUGGGUCACUGUGAGCUCCAGGAGGACUCUGUCACUGCUUUGUGGUUGCCUGACCACAUCAAUGUGUGGCCCUUAGUGGUGUUCAUUAGCAAUUUUCUGAAUAAAUCAUUGGAAUGUGAGUGAUAUGACGCUCUGCAAGUAGCAUAUAUGAAAUCUUUUUUUAAAACGCCUUACUACAAAAGGAUACAAAAUAAGAAUGAAAAGGAACACAUAUCAGUGAAGCUUCUGCUUAAUGUAGGAGGGAGCACAUGAAUUUUCAUCUGGGCAGGAUGGCCUCGGAUCCAGAUACCCUGGCUCCUGGAACCUGCCAGUCACAUGACUGGUACCAGUGAAGAACCUGCGCCUUACAGAAGUCGGCUGAGAUCUUCCACCUGAGAAGACAGACUGACUCGACCGUGGAACCUCUGGCAGGACUGAAUGCACAGAGUAUCAGACUAGGAAGCACUGACAGAGGCUUGAACAAGUUCAUUGACAUGCAGCAUUACAGAAAACCAAGGGAAUAAAUCAAAAGCAAAAAAACAAAAGACAAACCCGACAUGGAAUGCUGUUUUAAAGUGGCGUUUGGUUAUUUUAGACUGUGUUUUAACACGCUCCUCUUUUUACCUGUUGGAGGAACACACUCCUGCUCCCCGUCACCCCUUGGUCUGAGGACACCCCAGCACACACCCGUGGUCAGGCCACUGUGGCUUCCGGGGUAGCACAGCUCAUCAUGGUGUGUGACCUUGGUAACUGUCCUUGGUCCCAUCUGCCCCUCUGUCCGUUGCUUGGGGAUGAGGCAAGGUGCCGCUUAUCUGUCACUACAUCGGUGCUGAUUUUCACCUUGAAAACUUUCUUAAUAUAAUUCCUCAGAGCUUCUCCCUGAGCCUCGACUUCCAAUUGCCUCAGAGGUUUUCACGGUCUUGUUUGAAGAAUGAACUGGUUCAUACAAUAGUGCCUCCCGAGGAAGAGAGAGGAGGUGGGAUUCAGGGCUGGGAGCAGGGCAGCAGGCUUGGGGUUGGAACAUUUUCCAAGUCUGGUGUUUCCAUUUUCUGGCUGUUUCCUUUCUGGCUAGUCAUUUCUCUGCGCUGCGUGUCGGUUUCUGCACCUGAGAAAUGAGGACAGAAAAUCUUACCUCAUACUGCUGCUGUGACAUUCUAGCGAGAUAUUAAUAAUCAUUACAGCAUUCAUCAUCACAACAUUAGCUGCAGACACUUACUGAGUGAGUGCUUGUGGUGGGCUUGGCCUAGGACUUUAACCCUCCUAACAGGUGUUAUUGUCCCCACUUCGCAGAUGGGAAGACUGAGGCUUCGCCAGUAACUGACCUGAAGUCAAGUAAGUGGUAGGGCUGAGAUUCCAGAAUGAUGGGCACACAACUCUCAACAAAUUGUAAACUGAUAGGAAAAUGUCGGACGUAAAAUUAUUGCAUUAAAUCAAAGUAGACUCAACUCAGAUUAAAUGUUGAUUUGAAAUGUUCUCUGGGGUUGCUACUAGGUGAGAUGGUUAAGAGCAUGAACUCUGAAGCCAGAUUGGCUUUAAAACAAACCAGGUGUGUGACCUUGAGUAAAUUACUUGGCCUCUCUGGGUCUCAGUGUACUCAGCUGCAACAUGCAGUAAUGACAAUGUUAUUGGUAUUACUAAUACUAAUUAUAAGAAUUACAUAACAUCUCACAAUUAAUAGUAAUAACUAAUAGUUACAAAUCCUAUAGCUUAUUAUUGUGGUGAUUAAAUUAGUCCCUCUUAGGUGCUGGAAUGGCUGUCAAAGGGCUCGCUAUUAUCAUUACUCCCUUUUCUUCCUGUGUCACUUUCAUUGCCCAGAUGGGGUCUCCUCCUUUUCUUGUUGCUGUCCUCGAGCAAGCAUUACUUGGGUCUUGAGAGACCGAAUAAACUGGUGUUCCUGCCCACGCUCCCCUCUUUAUGCCCAGAUGGGCAUCUUCUCUGAAAAUUUUGCUCUUGUCCCUCCCCAUGGAGCUGGGCCAGCGAGACCCUGCCGAGGUUCCUGGGGCAGCCGUCCUGGAAAGCCAGAGCCUCCAGCCAGCCAGCCUUGAGCAGCUGCCUUCCUCCUCUCACUACUCUGCCUCCUUCAGUCAGUACCAGGCUUUCCUGGGUCUUCUGAGUUACAAGUCCCUCCCAAAGACAGAGGCUUUUAAACACACCCUUCUAGAUGCUUCUAUGAAAAGGAGGAGACAGAAAUACCAUGUCAGAGAGAGGACUGUAAUAUGCCUUGGCACUGGGUAUGGCUCCUGCUUUGUCACUGGCUCUGUGACCUUGGGUAGCUUUCUCACCUGGGUCAGUUUCAUUGUCCAUGUCUCCCUCUUCUCCAUUCUUUCUCCCCGCCAGGGUGUGUUGUUUUUGUGCUUGGAGAUCAUUGUCUUUUUCUUGCUAUUUCUCUAUAUGACCAUGAUCUGGAUCUCCCAAGAAUUGCUUAAAUGAUCUCAUCCUCACACACCUGGCUAUCAGGGGCCAGUAUAUACACAUCUGGUUCCAGAUAAAUCCUACUGGAUACCUAGAAGGAAGUCAGGAAAUGUAGGAGUCUUUGCAACUCACCUGUCUGCCUGAACAAGCCCCAUUUUUAAGAAUGCACUGUGUUGUGGAAAGAAUGUCAAGGUUGACACGGACCCUUAAUUUAUGAGGAGACUAACGUUGUUAUGAUUCUCUUUAUUCCGUGUAGCCCUCCUUUUGACCUGAUUUUGGAAAAGUUUCCUGUUAGAGACCAGAAUGUAAAGGUUAGCGCACUGGUGAACUUAGUGAAUUUUAGAGCAGUUGUGACGCACACCUCAGCCACAUGUCAUCACACCGUAGUUCGAGGGGAUGGUAGUGAAGACUCUGGACCGGGCAUUUGGGGCCAUGAGUUUCCUUCUCUACUAUAAUUUAGUCCCACUGACAUUUACCACUCACACGCUAAAGGCCAAAGAGCUGGACACUAAGUGACAGGGCAUCAAAGUUGCUCUGUCUGCAAGGCCUGAUCAGGGAGUGUUGGCUGUCUCCUCUUCACCUUUCACCUUUCCUUCUCCACGGUAGGUGUCCAUACCUGCUGCGCCCCUGCUCCAGUGCCUCUUGCUGGAGGGGAGGCUGAAUCCUGACGGUGCUAAACCAGUCAUGGUGCCUUCCGUCCCCUUGCCAGCAUUUGGUUUGGGCAUGGUCAUAAGCACGUGGCACCAUUCUGGCCAGUGAGACCUGAAGGAGAGUCCACGGGAAGGUUUUCUGGAAAAUAUGUGUGUGCUAUGACAAAAAACCGCAGACAACAAUACGGCAUCUUUGCUCCGUGGUUCAGGUCCAGAUCUGAGGCUUGAGUCGGGACAGUUAUUGCAUAAGUGCAAGGGGAGUUAAGUACGCACUCUGAGGGUGGCAGAGCAGGAAGAUGGGAGGAACCUGGAUCCUUGUGAUGUCACCACGGCCCCGAAUCAAUCAGCUCUGGAGCUGCCCUUCCUCUGGACUUCCGCUAUAGUUUAGCCCACUCGGAGUGGGGGUGUCUGUUGUUCGCAGCCUCUAGAUCCUAAUGAUGUACCUCUCAAAUGGUUAGCUUACCAGCCAGAGAGGGGGGCAAGCAUGUAAACACACCUCCUGUCACAACUGUGCUACUGGGGAGGCGUGUGCUGAGGUCUUUUUGCAACAUGUGUUCCGCAGCCAGGCUGAGCCGUGCACUUACUGUGCUAUCUUAGCGAAGUCCCUGAACCUCUCUGGGCCUGUGAACUCAUUGGAAAAAUGGAGAUGCUAACUGCACCUGCCUCAUGACAUAUUGUGUGGAGGAAAUACAUAUUAACCACUUAGGAAGUGCUCAAUAAAUACUAUCAAUUAGAAAUAUAAGCUAUAUGAGGGCACCGAGGAGUCAGCAACAAAGUCUACAAGGGUGAAGGCUUCACCAAGGGGACAGACAUUGCAUCCUGAAGGGCAAGUUGGGUGUGCAGGUCGAGGUCUGGGGGAGAAGGACAUUCGGGCGAGCAGUGGGAACAGCCUGUGAGCUCAGCAGCCACAUGCCACCUUUCAGGAGCUCGGUGUUCUCGUCCUUACAAAAUGCUUGAGUGUGUUGGGUUGGUCAAAUCCUCUUUUCACAAAAACAAAUCGCAGGUCCCCUGCCCAGAUUGCGAAGCGCCAGAUCGGACACUGCCCACGACCCCUUCAUCACUCACUGAAGGUUCCACCCACCCUGAAGAAGUUCACUCAACAGACGUUUGCCGCCAAAGGAGGCUUCGUUGGUUUCUUUGUUCAUUACCAGCCAGAGCCUUCACUGUGCAAUUAGAAUGCUGCUCUUCCUCAGCUUCCGGAGGCCCCACGCAUCUCAUCAGUCAGAGAGAUGCUGAAGCUUAAUUAAGCUUGUAAAGCUUUCUGAUUUCCUCAGAUGAAAGGUGGCCUGUGAGUAUGCACCAGGUUUUAUUUUGGUGCCAAGGGUUAUUAUAAAUAGGACUAGUGCGAUGUGGCUGAGCUCUUAGGGUGAUAAUGUGUCAAGACCAAUCAUGGCUGCCGAGAGCUGUGAUAUUAUCAUAAUGGUUCCAUCAUACACGGUGGGUGUUAAUGGAAGUGGCUGUGAAAAAAAAAAAAAA